rnacentral:lncRNA from 1 species
UCACUUUACACCCAUUAGGUUGACUAUAGUAACAAUAUUUUCAAAAAGAGAAAACAACAAGUGUUGAAAAGAAUGUGGAAAAAGUAGAACCCUCAUAUAUUGCUGGUGGAAAGUACAGCUGCUGUGGAAAACAGUUUAGCAGUUUCUCAAAAAGAGGAACCACAAAACUGUUUUCCACAGUAGCUGCCCUAUUUUACAUCUCCAUCAGCAAAGUAUGAAGUUUGAAUUUCUCCACAUUCUCACCAAUACUUUUUUCCUUAAAAAAUUUUUUUUGGUAGCCAUACUAGUGUAACCAAAAUGCGGGUAAGUUGGGCGUGGUGGCGGGCGCCUGUAGUCCCAGCUACUCGGGAGGCUGAGACAGGAGAAUGGCAUGAACCCGGGGGCUGAAC